CUCACCUGUUCCCAUUCCGAACACAGAAGUUAAGCCCACCAGCGCCGAUGGUACUGCGAAAGCGGGAGAGUAGGCCGCCGCCAGUU
rnacentral:rRNA from 1 species